rnacentral:rRNA from 1 species
GGUUUUUAGAAUUUAUUAAAAAUCAAACCUGCUCAAUGCUUAGUAAAUAGCCGCGGUAUCUUGACCGUGCAAAGGUAGCAUAAUCAUUAGUCUUAUAAUUGAAGACUGGAAUGAAUGGUUUAACUUUAUAAUCUUGUCUUAUAAUAAUAUUUUGAAUUUUAUAUUUUAGUAAAAAAGCUAAAUUUCUAUUUAGGGACGAAAAGACCCUAUUGAGCUUUACAAAAAUUUUUAUUUUUCAUAAAGUGAAUUAAUUUUGUUCUACUGGGGCAGUAAGAAAAUAAAAUUUUUCCUUAUUAUUAUAAAUUUUAAUUUUUGUAAAAUCUAAAAAUUUUUAAAUAAAAACAAGUUACCAUAGGGAUAACAGCGUAAUUUUUCUUUAGAGAACAUAUCAAUAGAAAAACUUGCGACCUCGAUGUUGGAUUAAAAAUCCUAUUCCACGCAAUAGUAGAAUACAGGAAGUCUGUUCGACUUUUAAAUUUUUCCA